rnacentral:lncRNA from 1 species
UGAUACGGAGGAAAAGAUACAGCAAUUGAUGCAUCUAUGUUACAUUCAGUAAAUAAAUCUAAGAAAACUCAUUACUGUUUGCUUCCUUCUUCCUGUUUCCUGUUUCUCUUUUGCUCUCUUUUUCCUGUUUCUUUCUGCUUUCUUUUUCCUUUUUCCUGUUUCUUUUUUGCUUUCUUUUUCCUUUAUUGAAUCUAUCUUCCUCAUUAAUUCUUUCUUUCGUUGCUUUACAUCUGAUCCUGAGGUGGACCAACUGAGCGCAACUCUAUAUUCUACAACUCCACCACCACGAAGAAACUGGUAACUAAACAUGACUUUUUCUUUCUUCAUCCUCUGGUCCUCAAACGAUCACUCAUUAAUUCUUUCUUUUGUUGUUUUAUAUGUUAUCCCGAGGUCAACCAACUGAAACCAACUCUCUCUUAUCAUCUUCAAAAUUAAUAUCAACAAAAAGCACCAAUCAACGGUUAGAAAAGAAUGACAGCCUGUAAUUCAGAAACACUUCUCAGAAAAGUAAUCCUCACUUAGGAAGCAGAGAUCUAGCAGGGCAAAAAUGGUUAGGAAGCAGAGACGAUAUGUAGAGUUUGCAGAAGGCAAGCAGAAAACAAAUAGUGAAGUCUUUGACCAUUGCGCAAUAGAUACACUGCUGAUUUCUCAU